GUAGGACAACCCUUAAAAGGCUUAAUACAACGCACAUUCUACAUUUUAUUUGGUUAAUUGCUUGAAUUAGAUAACCACUUCAUGAUUGGAUUAUGCAGGUGUUAAAGCCACCAAGAUGUAAAUUUUAGGAGGCAUGAAGGAAUGAUAAAAGUUAUUGGAGUCAAAAAUGGAAGAAGUAAAGUUUGGUGGAUGAAAAAGAGAGAAGCAAGCUGAUCACCGUAACUUACGGCUCCGACUGAUCUAAAAUUGUAACCUAUGGCAUUUAAUGCCAUUUUGAUGGAUUUUGAUGGUGCUUAUCAUGGGAUUUUCGGUUACAAAAGCUGGAAAAACGUGGGAGGAGCAUAAAAGGGGAACUUGGGAGCUCUAAAACAGCAUCUUUUGGAUAUCUAAUCAUCUUGGAACUAUCCUUUCACUAAAUCUUGAUCUAGUUCUUGUUGGUGAAGUUUGUGAACAAUAUUUCCUUUCUAUUUUGGUAUGAUGUUAGUUAAAGCCAUGAGUGGCUAAAUACUUGGUGAUUAUCUUGUGUUGAAGGUUUGAGUAAGACUAUGUUAACUUGUUAA
rnacentral:lncRNA from 1 species